rnacentral:rRNA from 1 species
GGCUCAGGACGAACGCUGGCGGCGUGCCUAAUACAUGCAAGUCGAACGAACUGUGGAAAGCUUGCUUUCAGAGUAGUGGCGAACGGGUGAGUAACACGUAAGUAACCUAGCUAUUAGACGAGGAUAACUACUGGAAACGGUAGCUAAGACUGGAUAUGAUAGAAAUAUUUAAAGGAUGCUAAGGCAUCGCUAAUAGAGGGCUUGCGGCGCAUUAGCUAGUUGGUAGGGUAAAAGCCAACCAAGGCGAUGAUGCGUAGCCGACCUGAGAGGGUGACCGGCCACACUGGGACUGAGACACGGCCCAGACUCCUACGGGAGGCAGCAGUAGGGAAUCUUCGGCAAUGGACGGAAGUCUGACCGAGCAACGCCGCCGUGAGUGAAGAAAGUUUUCGGAUUGUAAAGCUCUGUUAUUAGGGGAAGAAAGGCUCUAGGAGGAAAUGCUUAGGGAUUGACGGUACCUAAUGAGGAAGCCACGGCUAACUACGUGCCAGCCGCCGC